rnacentral:rRNA from 1 species
AUUGAACGCUGGCGGCAGGCUUAACACAUGCAAGUCGAGCGGGGUGAUGGUGCUUGCACUAUCACUUAGCGGCGGACGGGUGAGUAAUGCUUAGGAAUCUGCCUAUUAGUGGGGGACAACAUCUCGAAAGGGAUGCUAAUACCGCAUACGUCCUACGGGAGAAAGCAGGGGAUCACUUGUGACCUUGCGCUAAUAGAUGAGCAUAAGUCGGAUUAGCUAGUUGGUGGGGUAAAGGCCUACCAAGGCGACGAUCUGUAGCGGGUCUGAGAGGAUGAUCCGCCACACGGGGACUGAGACACGGCCCAGACUCCGACGGGAGGCAGCAGUGGGGGAUAUUGGACAAUGGGGGGAACCCUGAUCCAGCCAUGCCGCGUGUGUGAAGAAGGCCUUAUGGUUGUAAAGCACUUUAAGCGGGGAGGAGGCUCUUUUGGUUAAUACCCAAGAUGAGUGGACGUUACUCGCAGAAUAAGCACCGGCUAACUCUGUGCCAGCCGCCGCGGUAA